UUCUUGCCACGUUUAAAAGUCUGACACAACACGAACGCGACACGACACAACUCAUUGUCAGCUAGGGGUGGGCACUCAAACCGGCAAACCAGAAAUUCGAGCCGAACCGCACCGAACCAAACUGAAAAAAAAUCGAGUUGACCAAAAAGUCAAAAACAGGUCAAAAAUCGAACCGGACUAGUUUGGACCGGUUUUGGAUUCGGUUCUAUGUCUUCAAAAGCCAGACUGGGCCAAACCGAACCGAUCAAAUUAAAUUUUUUUUUUGUUGUAAUAUAUAUUUAUAUUUAAUGCUAUAUUUUUAAUUUCACAAAAAAAAACUAAUAUUU
rnacentral:lncRNA from 1 species